CCUCCGCGGCUCGGGCCGCCAUCGCCCUGCCCGCCCGGGUCCGGCGCCGCCGCAGCGGUCACCCGUGUCCUGAUAGGAGCGCAUUCCAGCGCCAGGGACAUCCCAGGAUGCUUGAGGACAGAGUGUCACCUGAGUGAGCUACUCCCUCCACUAACCAGAAGGUGACUGGACAAUUUACAUCUGCGUACUUAUUGAAAGGAAGGCUGAAGAAUCAUUUUUGUUGGAGUAGCUUAUGGGAACAACUUCAGUGUCCUACAGCUGGAUCAGCCCUUCCCUUCUGUCCCCAGACUUCGGUCCAGGAGGACCACAAGUAAAGGUACAGCCUGGGGAGCCCCAGCAAGAGAUGAGGCACUUCUAACCCUGAGGCACAGAUGUGCCAAACAGGAGAAUCCUGCACUACCCAACACCACGCCUGGUUUAGGGAGAAGCUGGCGUUUCAUUUGCCAUCAAAACGUGACCCCUGCUGGAGGACCAAGGAUGUGACUUUCAGUUAUUCGUAUGGACAACCCCACUGAACGGCACAGAUGUGAUUAAUGUGCUAUGAUACAGCUGUCACUGGCUGCAGGAAAUCACAGACAGCUAAAAAAAGGUUGGCUUAAAAAGACUGCUUAUUCACCCAACUGCAAAGGUAAAAAAGUUUUUCUGGGUAUUGUUUUUUGGUUGGUUGGUUGUGGUUGUGGUUUUGGUUUUAUUUUUGGUUUUUUUCAUGCAUGUGAUUGUGUUUUACAGAAUUGCAGGAACCAGUG